rnacentral:rRNA from 1 species
GUACAAAGUUGGAUUGGAUUCCACUUAGUGGCGAGACGGGUGAGUAACACGUAAGUAACCUACCUCAAAAGACUGGGGAUAAACGUUUGGAAACGAACGCUAAUACCGGAUAAUUCAUUACUAGAUAACUAGAAAUGCUAAAAGAAGGUUUUCUUCACUUUGAGAUGGGCUUGCGGCGUAUUAACUAGUUGGUGGGGUAAUGGGCCUACCAAGGUGACGAUGCGUAGCCGGGCUGAGAGGCUAAUCGGCCACAUUGGGACUGAGACACGGCCCAAACUCCUACGGGAGGCAGCAGUUAGGAAUAUUCGUCAAUGGGGGAAACCCUGAACGAGCAAUGCCGCGUGAGUGAUGACAGUCUUAUAGAUUGUAAAACUCUGUUGUAAAGGAAGAACCCUUACUAUAGGAAAUGAUAGUAAGUUGACGGUACUUUACCAGAAAGCCCCGGCUAACUACGUGCCAGCCGCCGC